rnacentral:rRNA from 1 species
ACGAACGCUGGCGGCGUGCUUAACCCAUGCAAGUCGAACGGAAAGGCCCUGCUUUUGUGGGGUGCUCGAGUGGCGAACGGGUGAGUAACACGUGAGUAACCUGCCCUUGACUUUGGGAUAACUUCAGGAAACUGGGGCUAAUACCGGAUAGGAGCUCCUGCUGCAUGGUGGGGGUUGGAAAGUUUCGGCGGUUGGGGAUGGACUCGCGGCUUAUCAGCUUGUUGGUGGGGUAGUGGCUUACCAAGGCUUUGACGGGUAGCCGGCCUGAGAGGGUGACCGGCCACAUUGGGACUGAGAUACGGCUCAGACUCCUACGGGAGGCAGCAGUGGGGAAUAUUGCACAAUGGGCGGAAGCCUGAUGCAGCAACGCCGCGUGCGGGAUGACGGCCUUCGGGUUGUAAACCGCUUUCGCCUGUGACGAAGCGUGAGUGACGGUAAUGGGUAAAGAAGCACCGGCUAACUACGUG